CACGCCCCCGCCUCCUCAGGCGCGGAGGAUCCGCGCCAGAGCGAGGGGGGGUCCCGGCCGUGUAUGGAGCCCCGGGCCCAGCCGCCCGCGCAGCCCUCGCGGACGGCCGACUUCGCCCAGGCUUCCCCGCGGUCCGGCCUUGGCAGGGGUGCGGGAGUGGGAGAGACCCGCACCCAGUGUGUGCGCAGCUCCCAGGCCUGAGCCUGCUUCCCGCGGGGUGUCUCCGGUUCCUGGUGUGGUUCCCGUUGGGUGGGCACCUGGGACCCAGGAAGUCUUAGACCUGGCUGGCGGGUGGGGGUGUGUUCGGUGGUUUGGCCUUGCCCUUCACCGACUGGUGCUGCACCUCCACAUGCCUCCUCCUGCAGGAAGCCCUCCUGGAUAGACCCUUCCCGCCACCUCUGUCCUCAGGCUGUUCGGCAGAGCUCUGGCUGUGGGGGGGCAUCCUGCCUGUCCUGUAUGGGAGUCUUUGACCUCAGGAGCCCUGGAGCUUUCCCAGCUCCUUGGAUAAGGAAGGAAGGCUGUGUGUGCCUGCCAUGACCUGUGGCAGAAGCCAGAAGUGGGGGUGAGGCUGGAAACUCCCUCCUCCAGUCUGGCUUGUGCCCCCCCCCACCCCGUGCGGAGGGCUCUCCAGGUGACAGCUCGAGACUCCAGCCCAGAUGCUUCCCUGGGGGCUGGACAGCAGCCCCGCCCCUGCCCGGAGGGGAGGAGGGCGGUCAGCUCGCUGCUAUCUCCGUGCUGUGUCAGCUUUUAGUGUCCGGGAGAAGACAGCAGCAAACAGGUGGGCCUGGCUGGCCCGAGCCAGCUCCCACACCUCCGCUCACACCCCCGCCAUACCUCCGGACGCCGCCUCCGUCUGAGGUCUGGCCGGGGGCUCCCGGCUGCAGGAGGCCAGGGAAGUUACUGAGUUUGGAAUGUGAGGCCCCCCUCCCCCGCCGGCUGCCUGCCAAGAUGGAAUUAUUUUGGAUUAUCCAGCCGUGUCCAGCCACCCGAGAGGGAAAGGCCGCAGCCUGCAGCCGUGGGAGAAGGAUCCAUUUCCGGGCGAGAGUCUUGAUGCUGGCUUGGAGCAGAGACUGACCCCGGACCACUGGAGCCUUGGCUGUCGGGGGCAAUGGCACUGCAGCUCUGGGCCCUGACCCUCCUGGGCCUGGCGGGCAUGGGGUCAAACCUGCGGCCUGGCAGACUGGACUUCUUCCACAGUGACACAGAGCUGAACCACCUGGCCGUGGACCAGGCUUCCGGCGUGGUGUACGUGGGGGCCGUGAACGCGCUCUACCAGCUGAGUGCCGACCUGCA
rnacentral:lncRNA from 1 species